AUAUUACAUAAUAUAUGCAUCGAUAUUAUAUUGAUAUAUCGGUAUAUAAAUAUCGAUGCUUUAUUUUCGAUAAUAUCAGACUGUAAUAUCGAUGAAACGAUAAUAUCGAUGUUGGUUGCGCAUCCCUAGCUGUAUAUCCAAUAUUUCAGUGCGAGACACGAGCGUGCAACUACAUUUUCUUAUUCUCAUAACCCAUCAGUUAUAAUUUUGAAGCAUUGUGACUUGUGACCACUAGCUUUGGUUUUCUAAAGUUUUAUUUAUUUUGAUUUAAUCAUGUCUGACGUCGAAGCAUGUUUAUGUGGUAAAAAAAAAAUUAACAUAAGUCCAACGAAUUGGAAAAGGCAUUUAAGUGCGUGCAAAGCGAUAAAAAAAAAAUUCAUCUUCAAAAUAUCUCAAUACAUAUUUUAAAAGAUUUUUGAAGGCUUCUAAUUCUACUGAGUCUGAUGCAAAAAAAAUGAAAAAAAAAUGAUGAGCAAAAUUUAACAGUAUGCGAAGAUAUUUGUGUAGUUGAUAUGGAUAAUGUAGACAGAGGAUAUGAUUUAGUUAAUGCAGAUUUAAAUAGUGCAAUAACUGUUAAAGAUAUUAAUGGUGAUCAAGAUAUGACUGAUGAGCAAAAUUGAACAGUAUGCAAAGAUAUUAUGUAGAUGAUAUGAGCAAUGAAGAUAAAGCAUUAAAUAUUAUUAUUCCAGAUUUAAAUACUUCAAUAUCCAUUAACAAUGUUAAUGGUGAUCAUGAUAAUAUAUCUGCAUGCAAUGAUUGCAUUGAAGGUAAUACACUGACCCUAGUAGAUUUAGAUAAAAUAUUAAACCAAUAUGAAACAUUUCCUCAUGAUCCAGCUUUACUUUUAUGUUCAAAUAAUUCAAUUGAACGUUUUUCACAAAUUGCACAUCAAGAAUCAUGUCAACCACAACCAACCGAGUGAAAAAACGGUAUAUUUCCUUUAAGAAAACAAGGAAAACAUUUGAGAUUGUUGAGCAACCAUGAGCAACAUUAUUUUAAAAAGAUUGCAACUGGAGAGUUUGUUAGACGUAAAUGGUUAUCUUAUUCUCCAACUGAGGAUAAAGUUUAUUGUAUAGUGUGCAAACAAUUUAGCACAACAGAUGGCAAAUCUAACCAACUUGCUAGAAAUGGUUCAAACGACUGGAGACAUAUUUUUUAUAAACUUGAUAAUCAUGAAGCAUCACCAAACCAUUUGCAGUCAGAGGUUAGAAAAGUAAUGUAUUUGAGUAAUCAAAGAGUAGAUAUAAAAUCUUUACAAAACUCUAAUACCGAAGUUACUGAAAAUAGAGAGAUUGUCAAAAUAAUACUAGAAGUGUUACUAUAUCUCGCUUGUCAAAAUUCGUCUUUUAGAGGUAAUGAUGAAUCUUGGCUAUCUAAAAGUCAGGGAAACUUUCUUGAAUUAAUUAAGCUUUUUGCUAAACAUAAUGAAUUACUUUCUUCUUAUAUCGCUACACUUGAAUCUGCCGAGAAAAAACAUCAUUGAUCUAUUUAUCUAAUAACACUCAAAACACAAUGCUUUUAGUUAUGAGUGAUAUCAUUUGUUCUCAAAUAUUAAAAAAAGUGAAAAUGGCUGGCAUCUUUUCAAUUAUAUUGACACCACUACUGAUGUUUCUAAUAUAGAACAGUUUUCUCUGAUUUUGUGGUUUGUGGAUGAAUUUAGUAAAAUAAAAGAAAGACUUAUGGCUUUAGAAUCUAUAAAUGAUGCAACUGGCAAAGGUAUGUUUGAUUUACUAUGCAAUAUUUGUAUUAAAUAUGAUUUAGAUUGGAUAAAUAACUUAUGUGCACAAACAUAUGAUGGAGCCGCGUCUAUACAGGGACAGUAUUCAGGUCUUCGUUCAUAUGUACAAGAAAAGAAUCCUUGUGCUUUGUAUGUUUGGUGUCUUUCACAUAUUCUGAAUCUGGUAGUAGUUGAUACAUGUGACAGAUGCAUUAGUAUAAGAAAUUUUUUUGGAGAUAUGCAAGUACUCAUUUCUUUUAUAAGAGCAAGAAAACGAGUAGCGAUUUUUUUAGGAGAACAAAAGAAAUGUUAUCCACAUGAUAGAGUUCUUAGAAUAAAAAACUUUUCUUCAACCUGUUGGUCAUUACACGAUAAAGCUAUUUCAGUUAUUCAUAAAAAAUAUGAUGCUGUAAUGAACACUUUAGAAAUAUUGUCAACAUGUAUGGAUCGUGAUUGUUCAUCUACAGCUAAAGCUUAUUAGAAAUUUUAUCAUCUUUUAAAUUUGUUACAAAUUUUUGUUAAUGAAAAAUAUUUUUGCAUUUAUCACGCCUUUAUCAAAAUACUUUUAAUCACCUAUAACCUAUAAUCAUCUAUUGAAUUUAUUCAGGCACUAUAUAUUGUUGAUUAGACUACUAAAAAAAUUAAAAAUAUUAGAACAGUUCAGUGUGCAGAUGAUUUAUUGAUGGAAGCUAAACAAUUCGCUAUAAGUAAAGGCCUUACUAAAAUAGAUUUUCCUCAAGAACAAGUUUUACGCAAAAAAAGGAUGCCAGGUGUAAAUUCAUCCGAUCAUUGUGUUACAAAACCAGAUGAUAAGUUUAGAACAGAGGUGUAUUUUGUCAUUGUAGAUCAAUUUUAUCAUCAAUCAACAGUAGAUUUGAAGGUUCUCGGACAAUAUUAUAUGAUUUAUCUCUCUUAUCGUUUGAUCGUAUAUUAAAUUUCAAUAAAGGAUUGAUAGUGCCAGAUAAUUUCUUCACUAGUAAAAUGGAUACCUAGUCUUAAACUUAAUAAAUUAAAAAAAUGAAUAUUUUUAAUUUUCUUUGUGUAUAAUGAAACUUCAGAAAGGCAUGACACUGGAACAAUCAAAUACUAUAAGAUUCGAAUCUACCCAAUCCUUUAAUGAUUAUGAGAAUAGUACUUCAUCUGAAGAUUCUGAAAAUUAAGAUAAUACAACUGAUAAAACCAAAUUCAAUUCCCUACAAAUAUUGAAACUUUUAAAUUCUUACAACUUGAUUUCAGCAUUCCCCAUUUUAUAUACAGCUUAUAAUUAUUUGUGUACCAUUCCAUCCACUUCAGUGUCAAAUGAGUGAUCUUUCUCUAAACUAAAAUUAAUUAAAACCAGAUUGAGAUCUACCAUGCAUCAUAUCCGCUUAGAAAGUUUAAUUUUACUAUCAUGAGAAAAGGAUAUUCUAAUUGAUUUAAAAGAGGCAUUAGAUAAAUAUGC